AUCUGCGAGAGCGCUGGACUCAACACUUUCCCACAUUAUACAGAUGAUCUGACGCUGGUCUCUGUAACACAGGCUUGAUAUUUUACACACCAGUGUUGUUCUGUAACACAAACAUCUCAUGAUUUUACUUCUUCAAUCGAAAAGGGCUGUCGCGAUAAACCGACGGUAAGUGUCACGUGAUUUAUGCCCAGCUUUUGAGUGAAGUACGGGAAAAUGCUGCUGCGUCCUAAAGCCAGAGGGCGCUCUCGUGCGGAAACUCCACAUACGCACUGCAGAAGAAGACCAUAACACGCUCUAGAAUCUAGGAAAUGCCUACGGACAUCUUUUUAUCACUGUUCCUCAAGCCUCAUCAGCACAGCGGCAGGAGACUGGUGGCCUCAUCAGGACCCAGACACAGUGGAGAACUUGGCUCUAGUCGCAGUAGCAGCAGCAUCCUUCACAGCAUCUGACACUUUGUAUUUCAGACAACAUGCCAAUGAAACACUGGAAAAAUUCAAGAUUAUCAACCGUGUGUUUGGUCAAGUGGCUACAGUUCGACACAUACCAGACAAGUUGGUGUGUUACGAAAGAUCCAAGGGACUGCAUCGUGUGGGAAAGAUUCCAAGGGUUAAGUGCUCUACUGUUCAUAAUGAAGUUACAACUAAUCAGACUACCCGACAGAUGUGUCUGACCUGUCUGAGGAUGACAGCGUUAAUAUAUCCUUUAAAAGUGGACGUCAAGGAAUGGAAAAGGCCUAAUUUGACACAAACAAUCAUGGCGCUUGAGUUCUUAUUUAGUGCUGAAUGGAUCAGGAGUCAGUGCUUAGCAGUUUGCUCCUCACUACACAUACCAGAGGACAAGGAGCUGGAGUGUUACAAGAACAUUACUGGCUGUGCGGUUACAGAGUAUACCUAUCAUUACCUAGAGAGUGGACAGGACUGUGUUCCUUGGUACAGCUACACGGUGGAGCGAUCAUCAUACCACAUGAAAUGAUAACACGACAACAGAGGACACGAAGAGGACUGUUUGAUUUCCUAUCUAAUAGCCCCGUGCCAAAGAAUCAUCACAUCUGGACAGUGGCAGAGAAAGUUUCAGCUGCUUUUAGUCCUAUGUUGGGAGUCAGUUCUUUGAUGAAUGAAGUCGAGAUCACCAGAUUUGAACUUACAUCGUUUAUGAAUACCACGAACAUUGUCAUGAAAGGCAUCAAGGAGGAGCUACGUGGACUACGAUUGACUGUGUUGCAAAAUCGCUUGGUCUUGGACCAAUUGACAGCAGCAAAAGGAGGAGUUUGUGCUGUCAUUGGAGAAACCUGUUGCACUUAUAUUCCAGAGAACGACGCCGAUGGACAUCUCAUCGAUGAAGGGAUGAAAAACAUUUCAUUGAUGGUUGAGACUUUGACCAAAUCUGAGGUUACCUCAGAUACUUUUAACUGGGACUGGAUCAAGGGUGUGUUUACCAACAUGAAAAAUUUGAUGUUAAUUGCGGCUUGCAUUAUUGCAUUUCUUUUAUUGACAUUAUGCAUUUGGCCAUGUGUAAUGAAGUCAUGCUGUGUCACAACAUAGCAUGGAUAAUACUCACACAUAUGCUAAUAUUAAGGGUCAAGAAUUACUGAAGCUUAGAGGGUUUAAAAAGACAGAAAUACUCAUGUUAUGAAGUAUUUACAGAAUGGUGGAAGGAUAUUUUUCAUACAUUGCUUGCUAAUAACCUAAGUAUUAUUAUAUUAUUCACUGAAUGCACAUGCAAUUUGAAAUUUUUAAAACACUUUUGAUCUAUUGUUUGAUAUUACGUUUUAUGUUAGUCUAUUAACUCCCUAUGGUUAAGGAUAACACCUGAUUGGAGUAUGAGGCUUUUCAGCCUCAAAGGGGGGAUUAUAUGGUGGUUUUUCUAUUAUAGUAUUGAGUUUCUUAUGUGAAAUAGUACAUUUAAGUUAGUUAUAGAUUUCAUGCACAUCUCUGAUACAGCAAAGACUAGGAGUCUCGUAGCAAAGGCUAUUUGCCCAUGGGUCAAAGGUUAUGAGUCCAGGAUGAGCACCAAGCGGCACCAUUAGACAUCUGGUUAACGUUACAAACACACAGACACUUUGAAGAGACAUACAGCAAAAACACUUUGCAGAUAUUAGUUAGUUCGAGCAUACUUCAAGUAAAUGUUUUACAACACAAAAGUAGACAGUAGUCUGUGCAUUACUAUAUUUUAUUGCACAGAUGUUUUCAAUAUUAACUUGUUUUGAACAGUAACCUUUUUGGGUCACUCAGUAUCCAUUUAACCAAGAGUUCAUGGUAAUAAAAACUAUGUUAAGCAAGGAAGGGUUUAGUAAAUGACAAUAAUGAUAUACAUUUGCCUGCUAGUAUAUUUUUCUUUUAAGAACUUCCUAAAAGGUCUGGCCACGGUUAAAUCUUAGCAUAGUAAACCUGACAUAUACCUGUAGCAGGUCACGACCUGAGUAAGAUAUAAGGGCAGCAACUCAUAAGGAGGAUGAGGUAAUAAAAAGGUGAUAUCAUGUGAAACCUGAUUGGGUAGAAGGUGACGUCUGGCGACGCAUGAUUGGUUAACACUGUGAAAAACAACUUGAAGUUACUGUAUAAAAGAUGGAGUCAGAUGUGUAUUCAUUAGACAUCUUCAGAUGAACUCUGUGUGUCUCACUUUGCUUGCUCGAGCAAUAAAGAUUGAAACUCUCGAAACCUGGCUCCCCGGUCUUCGUGAAUUCUUUCUACAUUGGAUGAUCGAUUUUGCCACAACACCAACAGACCGCAUAGGGGACGGAGAAAAAAAUAACGGGGAAAAAUGUUCAAAAGGGAAAAAACACCCACGGAAUGAGGCACUUAUCCACAAGAACCUACAACAGUGUCCAACCUGCGCGGGUCGAAAGACGGGAGAUACCAUCCACAGCCAUUCGAACUCGGGAAGAGCAGAAACAGUCCUCAAUAAUCCACAGCGGUAUAUCCACAAAAAUGGGAGAGAUGCUCACUCAGUCAGGCUGUAAGAAUCCAUAGAAUGAAGAACCCCUCGGUAGAGCAGAAGAUCUCCCCGGUAGACCAAGCACUCGACUCGCCUGGAGUAACCCCUUGAAGAAUCGCCACAGGACGAAGCCAGCAGGAAUCGUCACCAAAACAGGAACAGAGAUAUCAGGACAGGGUGAGUAUAGCACUGGAGCCUGGACAAGACAAGGUGAUUCUAGACAAGACUGGAGCUAAGGUGCCAGAGAAUAAACUCGUAACGGACUGACAUCGGACAAUGUAAAACACAGGGAAUAAGAAGGGGAGAAUUCAGAAAGGAUGAUGAGAGACCAGCCGGGAAAGAGGAAAGCCCAAAGGGGAACCAGGUAAAUCGGAGAAAUCUAUAACGAGCUGAAGACAGGAUAACAAGGGGGCGGGGCAGCACACGCGGACUCCGAGCACAUGGCAAGCUGUCAAGUGCUCGACAAAACAAAGACAGAGGAUAAAACAGACAAAAAUGUGCUGCCUGUGGCCCCAGAAGCAUUCUUUUCUUUCAGGUUCCAGAAGCUAUUGGUCCACAUCAGCCUGUGUGCUGUCCUUUCAGUUUUGCCCAUCGCCCUUGACCAGUCCUCUCUCUUCUGCCUGUUUGUGUACUGGUAAAUAAAAUAUUAGUUCAUAUCUGCAAUUGAAACCCAUCUUCAUUUUCAGACAGGUAGAAUGUGCAUUUGAAAAAAUAUAUGAAAUAGAUUGAACAUUGAACUAUUUUAAUUGUCAUUUAAACAUGUUCUGUCUCACAGUUUUCCUGCAAUUUA